UAUCAAGUUAUUUUCUACUCGAGCAUCAUACAAAACUAAGCAAGGGAAAAAAAAAAAGCAGCAGGGAAUGUGCAAGAAACCAUUCCUCCACUUCCAUGUUUAACGCUAUCAAGCUGUACCAGGAUCUCAAUUCUCAACUACGAACUAUUUUUAACCAAAUUUGAUUUGGUUUGAGUACAUAAUACCAAAAAAAUGAUGCAUCUACUGACUUCCUACAACCUGGUCCUCUGAUGGCUAAGGGGCAUAAUAGCCCUUCGUGUACCAUUUAAAGGGCAGCAAUAGACUAAAGUCCCAAUUUAGCAAAUUUCAGUCUUCCGCAACUCAUAUUUAUAUUGAUGUUUUGCAUCGAGGCUCACAUUUUUCCGAAAGAGUAAAAUGCAAGGUAAUAACAAAAUGAAAAAUGCCUCAAGAAGAACAAAACACGGUACAUAAACGUGAGCUACCAAGCAUAUAAAAAGAGAACUCAUGACAUGGGAAUAAGUAAAGCUACACAGAAAUGUUUGCUUAUGCUGCAAAAAAUUAGUCCGAUCUGAAAAGAAUAUUUCUCAGAAAAGUAAACUUAGGAGUUAAUCAAGCAAUUCUUCAUAUGUAUGUCUUGAAAGAAAGCAUAUAGGAUAGGAGUUCUGCUCAAGCAGCUCCAGACACAGAGUAUAAAUUGAGAGACAGCCUAAUAAAUGGAACAACUAAAAUCAGCUACCACAAUAUCUUCUUAAUACAUGUUAUUCAAAGUUGCAGAAGUUUAGCAAUGAGAAGCGACCAAACACAGGCAACAUUGGAUAAAGAAGUCACAUUGAAAUUAUCAGAAGAAUAUAAUCCAACUAGGCUAAACGUCAAAAAGUGCAAAAAUAAAUAAAAAAUAACAAAACUGCAAAAUAUAUGACAGUGGCUUUGAAAAGUUUUGCUGAAAUGGUGAAACUAAAUGCACAAAUCUGAGGUGAAGUUCAACACCAUUCAAAAAGCCAAGCGCAUUUUCUUCUAAAGUAUCUACUCAAUGAUGGACUGAAUAACACCAGCUCCAACUGUCUUCCCUCCUUCUCUGAUAGCAAACCUCAUCCCUUGUUCACAAGCCACAGGCACAAUAAGCUCCACAACCAUCUUCACACGAUCACCGGGCAUAACCAUCUUUGACUCCUCAUCCUUAUCAUUCAUAAUGGAGGCAACUCUGCCAGUCACAUCAGUGGUCCUCAUGUAAAAUUGAGGUCUAUAACCAGAGAAAAAUGGUGAAUGCCUACCGCCCUCUUCCUUCUUCAACACAUAAACAAUAGCAGAGAACUUAGUAUGCGGAGUAAUUGUGCCGGGUUUAGCCAAAACCAUUCCUCUCUGAAUAUCAGCCUUUUGGACACCUCUCAACAACAAUCCCACAUUAUCACCAGCCAAGGCCUCGUCCAAAAUCUUUUGAAACAUUUCAACUCCUGUCACAGUAGUAUUCCUAGUAUCCUUCAAACCCACAAUAUCUACGGUCUCACCCACCUUAACAGUCCCUCUUUCAACCCUGCCUGUGGCCACAGUACCACGACCAGUAAUUGAAAACACAUCUUCAAUAGCAAGUAAAAAUGGUAAAUCAGUCUGCCUUUGGGGAAUUGGAAUGUAGCUAUCCACAGAAUCCAUGAGUUCAUAAAUCUUAUCGACCCAUUGAUCAUCCCCGCGCUUAAUAUUAGGAUUAGCCAUCAAAGCCUCCAAAGCCAAAAGCGCGGAGCCAGAAAUGAUGGGUAUGUCAUCACCAGGAAACUCAUAAGAAGACAAUAACUCACGCACCUCCAAUUCCACCAGUUGCAAAAGCUCCUCGUCAUCAACCUGGUCCUGUUUGUUCAGAAAAACAACCAUGUUGGGAACUCCAACUUGUUUUGCCAGCAAGAUGUGCUCCUUGGUUUGGGGCAUGGGACCGUCGGCGCCGGAGACGACAAGGAUUGCGCCGUCCAUCUGAGCAGCACCAGUAAUCAUAUUUUUCACAUAAUCGGCGUGACCAGGGCAGUCCACGUGGGCAUAGUGGCGCGACUCAGUCUCGUACUCGACAGUGGCCGUAUUGAUGGUAAUACCACGGGCGCGUUCCUCUGGAGCGGCGUCAAUUUCAUCGUAUUUCUUGGGUGCGCUGUUGCCAGUAGCGGCUAAAGCCAUGGUGAGGGCAGCUGUAAGAGUGGUCUUCCCAUGGUCGACGUGGCCGAUAGUUCCGAUGUUGACGUGGGGUUUCUUUCUUUCGAAUUUCCCUCGGGCGGCACGGACGGUGAAGGAGCGGCGGCAGGUAGUGAUGGUAGUGGAAGCUGAAGGGGAGGAGGUGGUAGAGAGGAAGGGGGAAAUGAAGGAAGAGGAAAGAAGGGUUUUGGGAGUUAGCUUAGUGGGUUUUGUAAGGAAAGAGGAAGGGGAGGCAUGAGGAUGAGGGUAAGCUAGUUUAGAGGUAGUGGAGGCCGUGGCCGAGGCUGAAAUUGCCAUGGGAGACUCUGGGAUUAGCGUGAGAGUUUGGAGUUUUGGAGAGCCGGGAUUGGAAGGGAACGGCCUAAUGGGAAGACAAGAGGAGAGGAUUAGUUUUGUUAUCUGUUUGGUCAGGCUUAAAGAAGGGCUAUUGUGAGUUUUUUUAUCCGCUCCAUCCUAGAGGCUUUGUGUAACAGCUAGUAUCAUAGGAAGUUGGUGAAACAAAAUCAACAUGGUCACACGUGGAGACUGUGUAUAUGUAGAGUUUAGGGUUUUCUUUUUUAAAUUUUUCUUUUUUACGAGGCAAAUCACUAUUAGACGUAUUUUUUCUUUUUCGGAGCAUUGGGGAAGAUAAGAUGUGGUGAAAUGAGAUAUCGAAGAUGAAGACGUGGCAUGAAUUUGACAGUGAGCUUAAUUAGGCAGUGCCAAGCCUAUUUGGUACAUCAAUUGAAGUGGGUUUUGAGGCCGGAAAUCUAUGAGAAUUCAAUGUCAUUCACAUGAUUUGUGGCUCAUAGGAAGUGAG
rnacentral:misc_RNA from 1 species